CGCGGCCUAUCAGCUUGUUGGUGAGGUAACGGCUCACCAAGGCGACGACGGGUAACCGGCCUGAGAGGGUGACCGGUCACACUGGGACUGAGACACGGCCCAGACUCCCACGGGAGGCAGCAGUGGGGAAUAUUGCACAAUGGGCGCAAGCCUGAUGCAGCAACGCCGCGUGAGGGAUGACGGCCUUCGGGUUGUAAACCUCUUCUAGCAGGGAAGAAGCGAAAGUGACGGUACCUGCAGAAAAAGCACCGGCUAACUACGUGCCAGCAGCCGCGGUAAUACGUAGGGUGCAAGCGUUGUCCGGAAUUAUUGGGCGUAAAGAGCUCGUAGGCGGUUUGUCACGUCUGCUGUGAAAAUCCAAGGCUCAACCUUGGACUUGCAGUGGGUACGGGCAGGCUAGAGUGCGGUAGGGGAGAUGGGAAUUCCUGGUGUAGCGGUGGAAUGCGCAGAUAUCAGGAGGAACACCAAUGGCGAAGGCACAUCUCUGGGCCGUAACUGACGCUGAGGAGCGAAAGCGUGGGGAGCGAACAGGAUUAGAUACCCUGGUAGUCCACGCCGUAAACGGUGGGUGCUAGCUGUGGGCCACAUUCCACGUGGUCCGUGACGAAGUUAACACAUUAAGCACCCCGCCUGGGGAGUACGG
rnacentral:rRNA from 1 species